AGUAGAAUGACUGAGGAUUAAAAAGGUGAUAAAUUGUAAAUUUAUUGAGGAAUGUAUAUUAUUCUUCUACUA
rnacentral:tRNA from 1 species